UAUUUAGCAGUCAGGGGCUCUAAUCGUCUUCUUCUGCGUUCGGGAAAGGGAGGAUAUGGCUUGAUUCGGGAGGUUACCUCGCCGGCGGUUCUUCUGGCGCCGCUCGUCUCGUCGGGCUGGUGGCUGGCCGCUUCGGGAUUCAUCUCCGAGGACGUGUUCGUGCGUUGCGUGACCACCGGCCGGAGAUUGCUGCAGCAACCGACGGGUUGAGGUCGAUGCCUAGUCCCUUCUUCGGCAAGCACUCUGUCAGUGAAGUCGAUGGCAUCACCAUUGCUCUUCUCGCCUGGUACCAAGAGAAUGCUAUUCCCCAUUCUGAACCCUCGAGGCGACGCUGGCCACCCAACAGCAUGAGGAGCCCAAGGAUGCAGUCCUUCUCAUCUUGACUGACGAAAGGCGACAGCAGAGGCGAAGGGCGGCGGCCCUUCGUUCGCCGGCGCUUUAUCCCCCACGAGGCAGCUGGCAGAGUGCAUCGGAGGAGUCUGCCAGCCAUGGUCUGCCGUUCCUCUCCUUGAACCCUAGCUAAAGCAGACGGUGAAGUCAAAGGGCGACGGCCCUUCGUUCGCCGGCGCUUCAUCCCCCACGAGGCAGCUGGCAGAGUGCAUCGGAGGAGUCUAGGGCGACGGCCCUUCGUUCGCUGGCUCUUCAUCCCCCACGAAGCAGCUGGCAGCAUGCAUCGGAGGAGUCUAGGGCGGCGGCCCUUCGUUCGCUGGCUCUUCAUCCCCCACGAAGCAGCUGUUGCUCUCGAAUGCGAAGCAAGCAAAGUGGCGGCGCUGUCAGAAUUUAGUGGAGCAAUCGGAAUCCAAUCAAGAGAUGUAGAAUGAAAGGGACCCUAUCACCGACCAGCAUCAACAUGUAUAAAAUGCCAUAUAUAUUUUUUCUUUUUCCUAUCAAAAUACCACUAUAUAUCUAUUUUUACUAUUUUCAUUAUUA